CACCUAAUAAACAGUAACCAAAACCGCCAAAAGCAUAUUCAAUUUCUUCAGAGAUUAAAAAAAAAACCAACAGAACAUCUAUUUUUAACUUCUAAAUUUUAGAGUCUCGUACAUGAGAGCAACCGUGACCAUCAUAGACGCCAAAAUAGUGGAAGCCAAUGGCGGCAGAGUCCUGGCCUUGACGAUGGAAAGACGGAUGAAUAGCGACGGCGUCUUCCAUGUCUCUUCUCCUACCACAAACCGAAGCAACACCGAAUUUAGGAUGUAACUCUGAAUCGAUUUCAGGUAUCAAAAGCGAGGGACUCGAGUUACUUUUCACUAUUGUUCCUUUUGUUUUUAGUCUUCCAUUUUUAGGUUUAACAGUUCGCUUUUUUCCGUCCUCAUAGGAGGCACAAUUUUCUACAGCGUUUUCACAGUCCAGAGAAAAUGAUGCUCCGUAACCUUGCAGGUUCUUGCGUUUCCGGCCAUUCUCAGCUUCAGAUGGAGCCACGUCGACGAUUUUAAUUCGUCUAAUCUCCAUCCUACGCCUCCUUGCUGCACGUGAACUCGGCUCGCGCGGUAUUGAUGCUUCGCCUUCGCUCACAACUCCGUAACAGA
rnacentral:lncRNA from 1 species